rnacentral:rRNA from 1 species
GUGGGGAAUAUUGGACAAUGGGCGAAAGCCUGAUCCAGCCAUGCCGGGUGUGUGAAGAAGGUCUUCGGAUUGUAAAGCACUUUAAGUUGGGAGGAAGGGCAGUAAGUUAAUACCUUGCUGUUUUGACGUUACCGACAGAAUAAGCACCGGCUAACUUCGUGCCAGCAGCCGCGGUAAUACGAAGGGUGCAAGCGUUAAUCGGAAUUACUGGGCGUAAAGCGCGCGUAGGUGGUUUUGUAAGUUGGAGGUGAAAUCCCCGGGCUCAACCUGGGAACUGCCUCCAAAACUGCAUGACUAGAGUACGGUAGAGGGUAGUGGAAUUUCCUGUGUAGCGGUGAAAUGCGUAGAUAUAGGAAGGAACACCAGUGGCGAAGGCGACUACCUGGACUGAUACUGACACUGAGGUGCGAAAGCGUGGGGAGCAAACAGGAUUAGAUACCCCGGUAGUCC